CGAUUUAAACUUCAAAUCUUUUGAGUCAGUUUUAUAUCCCAAGUUUAUAGGCACGACUUCCAUUUUCAAACUACUCUCCAUCUAUGCACCACCAUUCAUGUAUUCAAAUGUCUUUGCAGAUUUCAUAUAGCACGAUUGAGAUGGAACAUAAAAGUUUGUAUUGUAUCAUGGUUUAUUCAUAUGUUCAAAUGCAGUCGGACGUGUUUUCAAUUAUGGUUUAAUCUCGAACAGGUCGUAAAUUGUAUGAAGGGGAUUGUUUUGAAUUGGGGAAAAGAUGAGCAGGCCUUUUUUCUGCGGAAAUUUUGAGUACGAAACUUUCCAAUCGGACCUGGAGCGUUUGUUUUCCAAGUACCCGAGAGUAAAGCGCGUCGACAUGAAAUCUGUACGCGGCAUCGGGGAUGGAUUUGUAUGUGUUUGGAGUUUAGGAUGAGCUUUUGGAGUUUUGUUUUGAUUGGUUAUUUGGUAUUGAUGUCGUAGUUGACCCGGGAAGACCUGUUUCAAUCCGGGUGUGCUCAUUCGUAGAGUCUUGAAAUGCAGUAUUACCCGCUUUGCUUAAAGAUAAUGGUAUCGAUCAUCUGAUUCAUAAUUUCUGCCCGUUGUCACAAGCCUGAAACUGCCUCCUCAUCUUACUUUGCAUCUCUCAAGCGAUGGAUAGUGGUACUACCACUUUUGGUUGUAGAGAUGGAUUUUUGACGCCAUCACAGAGACGGCUACACGACGUUGAUCUAUCUAAAGUAUCAACUCCCGCACCAGAUUUUGUCCGUUUCAGCUGAACAAUCUGGUAUGAUCCAUCAGAGUGUGUAAGGUACUCGAAUAGCUCAACUGAUUUAUUUGAUUUGCAAAGAAUUUUAUUCUUCACUCAUUCGUCCAUAUCGGUUACCACUCACUCUAAAUAUUUGAAGCCCAAACAGGGAAAGAAACGGCUUUGUACCCAACAGCUUCGAGCGAGAUAUGUUCUUUCAUAUGCUUUCUUAAUAAUUAUCUUUUGCAAAACUUUCUUAAUUCUUCACUUGGAGAGAGAAUAAAAAUGUUGUAGGCAGGCUGAGGAAAGGUAUUUGGUUUACCCCUCAAUCAUUUUGAUUUAUUAUAUUUGUAAAUUGCAGAUGCAUUUGUUCUUUUUGGGACUUUUUCUAUACACAGAUCAUAUGCAAACAUUAUAGUAUUUGCUAAUUUGAUAAUUUGCUAAUAUAACUAUAAUUUGUUAUUUCAUAAAUUACAUAAAGUCAGAUUCAAAAAGAAAAGACCUUUCUUCACCAGAAAGUUAUACGCAGGCUUGGGAAGCAUGGGAUAAGUGAUAACUGUCACAACCACAAUAUUAGUCCCAUUCAUGGUAUAUACUAUAUAAUAACUUGGGGUUCCUGCCACAUUUUUAUUCCUUUUAGUGUUUAAGUUGUUUAACCCUAUCAUUCGUUUAAGAAUAUAUAUACUCAUGGCUGUCUCUAAUAUCUUUCAAUUGGCUGUCCAAUGUAUUUAUGAUAUUACUGCCUGCUGGUUGUAGCUUCACUAUUUUUGAAUAUUUGUGUUAAAUAGUUGUCGAGUUAAAUGAUCUAUAUAUAUAUAUAUAUAUAUAUAUAUAUAUAUAUAUAUAUAUAUAUAUAUAUAUUAUAUGCAUCACUUACAUAUAUAUAGUGCAAGGGCUUAAUAUAUUCAUGUGAUUACUUAUUUUUUAUGUUUCUGGACUAACUUAGCCGUAUUAUUAUCUCAUGUGCUUCAAACAAGAUAUCUCUUGGUUUGUGCUAUAAAUUACAAUUUGAAUAAAAAAAGAGUAGAAAACAGUUGGACCAGUUGGAUUAAUUAGUGAUAUUUAGUUUGUUCGGCACUAAGUGAUUACCUACCUUUUUAAUUUUUGAAACUGUGGGUGAGGUAAGGGAAUUUUUAGUAUUACCUGGAAAGCUUCAUACGAGAUUUUAAUACAACUACUGAGCUCUGUUAUGUCCCUUUUAGGAUAGCAUAAAACACAAUACCAUAUGCACCUAUAUCUAUAUUUUGGUAGUAGCACUUGGUUGAUAAAUUUUUUGUGUUGGCCGGACAAUGGGGACGUUAUUCACGGACUUAUCGUUGUUGUACGCACGAUGCACGAUGGUCAUGUUGCUGAUCAUGAGACAUCUACUGCACGUGAAAUGCCUUUUUAAAAAAAUUUCAAUUACAAUGCAGGUUCCUGUUUACCACUUGGUUCCUGUUUAUCACUUGCUAUACGGACUCUAGCCAGUCAUCUAAGUCAUGGAUCCAUACAUCAACUCAAGCACCAGGUAAUGUUCUUUUCAGAUGCUCAAUCUAUCUAAGUUAUGGCUGUUAUGUGUUUGAUCAAGUUAGUUUCACCCUCUGUUAUUAAUAGUUUUGUAUCACCAGUUUUACGAGCAAAAUGUACCCUUCCAUAAACCCCUUUUGUGAUUGAAAGAGAUUCACUUUUGUGAUUGAAAGUUAUAGACUCCAGCUUAUCAAUUAUAGAAAAGGGGUGAUAAGCAACAGUGGACCACAAGAGCCUGCCAUGUCUUCUGUUUCUAUAAUAAAACUGUCAUUUCUAGAAUAAUAUAGGAGCCUCCUAUAUUAAGUGGGAUGCUCUUCUUUAGUCUUUCGUCUAUUGUCAUUUGCAAGUCUGCCAUGGAAUUCUAUUGGCACAAGAGUGAAUAUGUGACAAUAGUAUUAGUCUUCUUUUCCUGAUAAAUUUCAAUGCCAAAGUUUUUGGUCAUCCACAGAAUUUUUUUAUUUUUCCAUCAUUCUUUUUUGAACCAUAUAUGUUUUCUGUCUGAAACUUCUUUGUGCAAUCUGUCUGGAGCUGUACUAUGAGGAUGCAAAUUGUUUGUUUUGCUUAUUGAUUAUCAAUCUUUGUGAAUGCA